CGGGCAGUAGCUGAAUGGUAGAGCCCCGCUUCGUAUGCGUGAAGGCCUGGGUUCGAUUCCCGGCUGCUUAC
rnacentral:tRNA from 1 species